rnacentral:rRNA from 1 species
GCAUCGAUGAAGAACGCAGCGAAAUGCGAUAAGUAGUGUGAAUUGCAGAAUUCAGUGAAUCAUCGAAUCUUUGAACGCACAUUGCGCCCCUUGGUAUUCCAUGGGGCAUGCCUGUUCGAGCGUCAUUUGUACCUUCAAGCUCUGCUUGGUGUUGGGUGUUUGUCUCGCCUCUGCGCGUAGACUCGCCUCAAAACAAUUGGCAGCCGGCGUAUUGAUUUCGGAGCGCAGUACAUCUCGCGCUUUGCAUUCAGAACGACGACGUCCAAAAGUACAUUUUUACACUCUUGACCUCGGAUCAGGUAGGGAUACCCGCUGAACUUAAGCAUAUCAAUAAGCGGAGGA